rnacentral:rRNA from 1 species
UUUUUAUAGUUAGGAUUGUAAAUAACGCCUGCUCAAUGAAUAUUAAAUAGCGGCGCAAGUCCUAAGGUAGCAUAAUCAUUAGCCCUUUAAUUGUGGGAUAGUAUGAAGGGUAGAACGAAUAAAAUUAAGUUUUAAAUUUAAUCAUUUAAAUUAAUAUGUGGAUUAAAAAGUCCGCUUAGAGUUUAGGGACAAGAAGACCCUAUUAAAGUUUUAUUUUAAUCUUUUUGUAAUAUAAUUAGAAUAAAUUUUGUUGGGGUAAUGCUAUAAGAUGAAAUUUUAUAGUUUAUAAUUUUUAGGAGAAAGAGUGUGAUCCAUUAUUAAUGAUUAUUAGAUUAAACUACUUUAGGGAUAACAGCACAAUUAAAGUUUGGGAGUUCACAUUUACAACUUUGAUUGUGACCUCGAUGUUGGAUUAAUAUUCAUGAUGGUGAAGCAGCUAACACUUGAAAGUCUGUUCGACUUUUUAUUAAUUACA